rnacentral:rRNA from 1 species
GACGAACGCUGGCGGCGUGCUUAACACAUGCAAGUCGAACGAAGUGGCGAACGGGUGAGUAACGCGUAAUCAACCUGCCCUUCAGAGGGGGACAACAGUUGGAAACGACUGCUAAUACCGCAUACGGAAGGAGGGGCUUGCGUCGGAUUAGCUAGUUGGAGGGGUAACGGCCCACCAAGGCGAUGUGCAGUAGGCCGUCUGGGAGGGUGAACGGCCACCAUGGGACUGGGACACGGCCCAGACUCCCACGGGCGGCAGCAGUGGGGAAUCUUCCGCAAUGGGCGAAAGUCUGACGGAGCAACGCCGCGUGAGUGAUGAAGGCCUUCGGGUUGUAAAGCUCUGUUAAUCGGGACGCGGUACCGGAAUAGAAAGCCACGGCUAACUACGUGCCAGCAGCCGCGGUAAUAC